UCCAUUGUUGAACCUGCUGAAGGAAUCCUUCAAAGGAUCUUUUAUUAUGCCCUAGGGCUGACCAGCUUUAUUUUUCUGCUUGAAGCAUUUGCUUCUCUAUGAGACAAGGGAUCAGGCAGGGAAGAAGGGUUUUUAUUUUUCCUGCAAUGGCAGCUACUCCCUCCUCCAUGCCUUCAUCAGCAGAGGAGGUCCUCCUGUCUCUUAUCCUGUUCUCUUGAACAGCCACUGGAGAUCUAUGGAAAAGAGCUUAAGAAAGGCCAUGUGAAGACACGGUGAGAAGACGGCCAUCUGAAAGUCAGGAGGAGUAUCCUCUUGAGAACUGAAUCAAGCUAGUACUUUGAUCUUGGACUUCCAGCCUCCAGAACUGCAGUGUUGGUCUGCAAGCUUCAAGAGCCAGUGACCCUGACUGCCAAGUGAUUUGCCGAAGGGAAUUAUGGUUUUGCAUUUGAUGGUUUCCAGGAACUGCUAAGAGUGAGAUCAUCCCUGAAGCAGUGACUGCCAGAGGAAGGCGAGAGACAUAUGGUGGCCUUACAGGAGAAGAACAUGUCUCAGAGAGCUCCUACUCCUCCAGUUUUGGCCCCAGAAUGAAACACAGGAAGAAGACCUGAAUUUGAUUUGCAUUUCAAAGUAGAACUGUCCCAGCUGACAUGAAGACUGAUGAAUAAGGAAUAAGUAUUUAUUGUUGUAUGUCACUGAUAUUUCUGUGGUCGAUUAUGUGUAGAAGAGCUGACUUGUACACUUACAUAAACUUGAAGAAGACUGAAUUUAGAAAUGGAGUUUCUGCAUAUGGUUAUGUCUGAGUAGCUCCAAGUGGAUCAUCCCUCCCACAGAUAACAACUCUAAACUCUGGACAAAAUAUAAAAAUAACAAUUUCCUGAAUAUCAAAGAGCAACCCAAAUCAUGCAGAUACUGGGUAUUAAGGCUGAAUUUGUCUACACAUCAAACAUGUACCUAGGAGGAAUAUUUGCUCUGUGCCAUCAGCAGUGUAGAAACUAGAAUAACCAGCUGCCGUAUUGUGAGCUGCAUUAUGAAGAGAACCAUGUGGCAAGACACUGAGGGAGAUCUCCAGCCAACAACAACUCAUAAGCAACUAAAUCUUGUGAUGAACCACUGGAGUCAUCUGGAAAGAGGAUCCUCUCACCUUCAAUCUUUGAAAUGGCUAGAGCUCUGAUGACAGUUGGAUUACAGCCUUAGGAGAAACAGAGAGCCGGGGAAAUUUGUGCCCAGGUUCCUUUCCCACAGACAUUGUCAGAUAAUAAAUAUCUCUGCGUUUUUAAGCUUC
rnacentral:lncRNA from 1 species